rnacentral:rRNA from 3 species
GUCUUUUUGUUAAUAAUUUAAAGUCAAAUCUGCCCACUGAUUUAUAAUUAAAGGGCUGCAGUAUAUUGACUGUACAAAGGUAGCAUAGUAAAUAGUCUUUUAAUUGAAGACUUGUAUGAAUGAUUUGAUGAAAUAUAAACUGUCUCUUUUUUAUAAUUUGAAUUUAAUUUUUUAGUAAAAAAGCUAAAAUUUGAUUAAAAGACGAGAAGACCCUAUAGAGUUUUAUAAUUAAUUUAUUUAUAAAUUUAUUUAUAAUUUUAAAAAUAAUUAAGUUAAUUAUUUUAUUGGGGUGAUAGAAAAAUUAAAUUAACUUUUUUUAAAAAUAAACAUUAAUUAAUGAAUAUAUGAUCCAUAUUUUAUGAUUAUAAGAAAAAAUUACCUUAGGGAUAACAGCGUAAUUUUUUUUUUUAGUUCUUAUAGGAAAAAAAGUUUGCGACCUCGAUGUUGGAUUAAGAUAAAAUUUAAAUGCAGAAGUUUAAAAUUUUGAUCUGUUCGAUCAUUAAAAUCUUACA